CAGUAGCCACGGUAACACGCAGGGGGCCAGCGUUGUCCGAAGUUACUGGGCGUAAAGAGCGCGUAGGCGGGUCUUUAAGUGAGGGGUGAAAGGUUCGGGCUCAACCCGGACACUGCCUUUCAUACUGGGGACCUUGAGUGUGGGAGAGGCGAGUGGAAUUCUUGGUGUAGCGGUGAAAUGCGUAGAUAUCAAGAGGAACACCCAUGGCGAAGGCAGCUCGCUGGCCUAUAACUGACGCUGAGGCGCGAAAGCUGGGGGAGCAAACAGGAUUAGAUACCCGGUAGUCCCUGUCUCUUAUACA
rnacentral:rRNA from 1 species